GACGAACGCUGGCGGCGUGCUUAACACAUGCAAGUCGAACGGAAAGGCCCUGCUUUUGUGGGGUGCUCGAGUGGCGAACGGGUGAGUAACACGUGAGUAACCUGCCCUUGACUUUGGGAUAACUUCAGGAAACUGGGGCUAAUACCGGAUAGGAGCUCCUGCUGCAUGGUGGGGGUUGGAAAGUUUCGGCGGUUGGGGCUGGACUCGCGGCUUAUCAGCUUGUUGGUGGGGUAGUGGCUUACCAAGGCUGUGAAGGGUAGCCGGCCUGAGAGGGUGACCGGCCACAAUGGGACUGAGAGACGGCCCAGACUGCUACGGGAGGCAGCAGUGGGGAAUAUUGCACAAUGGGCGGAAGCCUGAUGCAGCAACGCCGCGUGCGGGAUGACGGCCUUUGGGUUGUAAACCGCUUUCGCCUGUGACGAAGCGUGAGUGACGGUAAUGGGUAAAGAAGCACCGGCUAACUACGUG
rnacentral:rRNA from 1 species